GUCCCUAUAGCGCAAUGGAUAGCGCGUUGGACUUCUAAUCCAAAGGGUCGUGGGCUCAAAACCCAUUAGCGAUG